rnacentral:rRNA from 1 species
UACGGAGGGGGCUAGCGUUGUUCGGAAUUACUGGGCGUAAAGCGCACGUAGGCGGCUUGGUAAGUUAGAGGUGAAAGCCUGGAGCUCAACUCCAGAAUUGCCUUUAAGACUGCCGAGCUAGCAGGUGAGAGAGGUGAGUGGAAUUCCGAGUGUAGAGGUGAAAUUCGUAGAUAUUCGGAGGAACACCAGUGGCGAAGGCGGCUCACUGGUCCGGUACUGACGCUGAGGUGCGAAAGCGUGGGGAGCAAACAGG